AAGAUUGAAACGAAAAUUUUUCUUAGAUUAAUAAGAAAUGAUUGAAAUUUGUUUCGAUUGAGAAAAAAAUUUAUUUCAAGGAACGCAUCCAAUUAUGGUUCGCUCGUUUCACUCGCGAUUGAUCGCCCGAUUUCGAUUUUUGCCUAAUGGAAGUUUUCUGGGACGGCGAGAUUGGUAGCGGAACGAUAAAUCGAAUCCAAUGUUUUCCACUCGACAACCGCUUGAACAAUGGCCCCCGUCACGUCAUCCGAGCAAUAAAACCUCAUCAAAUCACGACCCCUCGCCCGACCGCGUAAGCUUCCGUGCACGGCUCAAUCUACGAAAGCUUAUAUAAAUGUAAUGAGACCGUGACCGGGGGCCAGCUCAUCAAUCAAGCCCCCCCCCCCCCACCAGCGGGGGCUUGUCUAGCUUCUCCGCUCCUCCCUCCACACCCCUUCGUCGUCUUUUCCGUAUACCGUCCCGGAAUUAUAUAGACACCCCCGAAAACGCUGCCCCAUACGGGGUAAUCCCACGACUUAGCAACGGCCACUGAACAAUCGGAUAAGCGCGAUUCGUUUCGUACGAGGUGGCCACGCUGUUUUCCCCUUUUUCCUCUUUUUUCUUUUUUUUUUUUUGCUUCGAUACGUCAAUCUUCCGCCUGUUUGAGGAUACAGGUGGAUCAAUCGCGUUUAAAAGAUGUAUGCCUCCGUGUUCGUUGGAAUGACGAUGUUGGAAAUUUGCGAUCUUCUUCUUUAAGAUGGAAAUGCGUUGAACUAACUGUGUUGAGGAUUCGAUUAAAAAUUGAACAAGUAUGGAAAGAUUAAAAAAAUGAGACACGAUAUAAAGAUUAUGUUACAUCGUAUGGAUAUAAGUCAAAUGAAAUAUAUUUUUCAUUAUACUUUUACUAUUCGCUUCUCGUUACACAUCUUGAAACGUAAAGGAGUGAAUUGUAAAAAGAACUCCUUUGUCUGACCAGUACCUUCUCAUUCUACUUCUCGCGUAAAAACAAAAGUCAUGGAAGAAAAGAACGUACACGAUCAUAACAUUGUAAAUAUACCUCUUAAUAGAUUAAAAGAAACAUCAUACGAAUAUUUUCCAAAUAUUAUCCUGAUCCCUCUACUUACUCUUCAUCAAACGAUAAAUUUUUCUUGCUAUACUGCCCUAAAACUAUCCUUCACACCUAUCAUCCAAUUCCACUGAAACGAACAAGUUUCCCUGUCAAACUGGAAUCGAAUCGAAAGAAUCCUUCCAGUUCUAAAAAAAAAUGAAAUACGUCGUGGCAAAUACAUCGAUCGUGCAUUCCAUUCACGAACACAUCUCCUCGAGAUACCCAGCAGAAGAACAACAUGGUGCAUAAUUCGCGAUCAACGAAUCGCUUUGUACCUCCUAUCGCGAUAAACAAUCCCUCUCGUUCGAGGGGGCCACAUAUGCACGCGCCAUGUGCGCUUUCGCACAAACACACACACACACACGCACACAUGUACACACAACGUAGGAAGGAAUCGAGCGUAGCCGAGGCGCGUCUCGCCGGCCGAGCAAUUCGAUUCGUAAGACGGGAGACGUCGAGAAGGACGAGGAGGCGAAAGAGGGACGGCUGUGGAGAAGGGAGAGAAGGUCGACGGUUGCAGGGUGGAGACGGCGACGGUGGUGGAGGGAAGGAGGAGGAACGAGGGAGCGAGCGCGUAGGGAUGUCGGGGGGAGGGGAACGGCGGAGGAAAACGCGGAGGUGGAGGUGGAGGAGGAUAAUAUUGAUCCCCUCGUAGCCCCGCCCCUCCUUGCCCAGCCGACGCCAUCAUUAUAUUAUCCACCAUCCCUCCGUCCAUCCGACAUAUGCGCACACCUACGACCUCGAAAUCCACGGGACCCCUUGGUCCAUCCACGCAUCGCUCUUCCAAGACGCUAUCUAUUUAUUCCUCUCACCGAGAGAAAAAAAACUGCGUCCGUAUAUUGCAUAUUCGGUAUAAUAUGGAACAACAGGAGGCGAGCAUAUAGCAUAUUUUCGUAGAGAGAAAACGAGAGAGAGUCGAGAUGAUGAGAAAUCGAGAGGGAUAAGGGAUAACGAGUUUGAAGGAUAUCUUGUUGUAUAGAUCGGUGUAUCAAUAUGAAAUCUUUGGCGAAUAUACAUAUAUAUAUCUUACGAUCGAGAGAGUGAAAAGUAAAAGGCAAACGUCUGAAAGAGUUGCGUUGGAAAAUGGAAAUCAAUUCCUUGGAUAAACACUUUCGACUAUUUCACGUAGUUGAAGCAGUUUCUCGGAAGAGUUUUAUUCUCUCCAAUAUAUAUUCGCGUGAAAAAAGAAAAAAAGAAGAAAAAAAUAGGUGAAUAUUCGUUUUUUAUCAAGUAGUGGUUGGAGGUAGGGAGGUUUAGAGGAGGUAAGGUUAUUUCUUGGCGGGCGAAAAAUGUCUGAAGACGGUACUUCGUUAAAAAUAAAUUCCACGAAACCUGGUCGGAUAUCCGGCAGCUUCGGGAGGAUUUCGAGACCGUGAAAAUCUGUCUGGAUACCUUUCCUCGCUCGCAGACACUUUUUCAUCAUUGUUCCAAGACGAGAUCAUUUCUCCAGACAAUUUGGGCAAAUGUUUGCUCGAUUGUUUUUACAUUUCAUUUUAUGAAAAAGCUAGGUUAUGUUUAACAAUUUCCUCGAACGAGAAACAUUAAACGAGAAUCAAUGCCGCAAACAUUUUUCGUUAGAUCGUCGACUCGACGGAUUAAUCUUUUCUCCCAUUUUCAAAUUUCUACGUUUCAUACAAUCGCUCUCCCUGUUCCCUCCCAUAUUUUCGCUAUUUCUUUUCUCCUCGCAGGCAGUCUCAGUUUGCAACAGUACCGUCUCCAUAAAUCUCACUAUAACGGCGAGAUGGAUCAGCCAGAAUCGCCACGUCCUACGCAGAGGGAGCCAGUUCUUGUGCUCGUGUCGCGAGUGUGUGUACACGCUUGGUCGCGCACGCGCGCGUAUAUCCACAUGGAUCGCUAUGAAUAUGCGACUGCGUGAGGAGAAAUAGCAUUGUCGGGACUGGAUACAGAGGAAAAUCGCCUUUGGUCAUGGUCCAAUUUCGUAAUCGUGCGAGAAAUCUUAUUGCCAAGUGUGAGAGAAAAUUUGUUGCUCGCGUCCAUGUUCGUGUUACGUAUUGAUUGUUGGAGGUUAUGUUUAGUUAACAGAAUGAAUUUAUUCGCAGAGUAAAACGAGAAGGACGCGCAGGCAAAUGUGUAUCCGUCGUGGAAAAUUGCGCGACAGAGGUGGAAGUUUCAAAAUCGUAGGGACAACGAGACAACUUUCACGGUGGCUGGAUCGUAGCCAAGACGACGAAACAAUUUUCUGGGAGACAACAUCGUAGUAGCAUCUGCUUUAGCGAACAGUUUGAAAGCAUUUUCACGUAAUUGAGAAUAGUCGAAGCUAUCGAGAAUACCGAAAUCGUAAUUGGAAUCUUGCAAAAUUGUUACUGAAAUUUUGACAUUUGCAAUUAAAUGAUUAAAGUAUACUUUAACUUUGAUAAAUUGUUUACUUGUUUGAAUAGAUAAAUUUUGAAACUAUGAAAGAGAAAUGUUCGAAAUUCAAAUUUUUCCAUCUUUCAUUGAUUUCAAUUUCUGUACGAAAUUAGAGAAAAGAAAAGAAACGCCAUAUUCUCGAUUAAAUAUCUAAAAAUUAUCACGUUUAACGAUAUGACUUUAAAAGUUACAAUAUGAAAUUAAAAAUUGACCAGUUUGUCCUAUUAUACAACGAAAUUAUUAUUCCUUUUUCCGAUUUUAUCCGAAACAAGUUAAAAAUCUAGAAUAGCAAAACUUCUUAAAUAGAUUUCUCGUUGCUGGAAUGAAGAAUAUUUAACCUAUAAAAUGGAGUUACGUAAUUACGCAACAAAAAUUUCAAUUAAACAAAAUAAAGAAAGUUGAUCGAUUAAACGAAAUGGUUUUAUUAUCAUUUCAAAAAUUCCGCGAUCAUUAUCAAUCCUACGUGCCAUAAAGAAACAGUAAAAAAGGAAUUUAUAAGUGAUACGGAAUUAAAAUAUAUACACGCCAAAAUAUUUCUCCAUUUAAAUUUCCAGGGAAUAAGACAAAGAGAAAAGAAUGAAAGAAAAAAAAAUAAAAACAAUAAAAUCUGAUAUUUAGUCGCAUAAGAGAUAAGAAAUUACAAUAUCAUUAAACGCGUCAUUAUUUCAGCAAACGAUGAUUACCAUUCCUCUUUACGCAAUUCUUUAAAAUUCCACGCGAUAAAAUAUUCUUCUCCUCCAUUAUACUAAUACUUCUGCUGCGAAACAAGUAGGAAACAAAUUUUCAAUUUCAUCGCAUUCCAUCGCAAUUUUUACGAUUCCACGAUUUCGGAAAAACGGAUAUGAAAAAAAAAAAA